GCGUGCAGGAUGAAGGCCUCCGGGUUGUAAACUGCUUUUAUCUGAGAAGAUUAUGACGGAGCAGAUGAAUAAAGAUCGGCUAACUCCGUGCCAGCAGCCGCGGUCAUACAGAGGAUCCGAGCGUUAUCCGGAUUUAUUGGGCGUAAAGAGCUCGUAGGCGGUUGAGUAAGUCGGGUGUGAAAAGCCUGGGCUUAACCCGGAGACGCCAUCCGAUACUGCUCUGACUUGAGUUCAGGAGGGGAGUGGGGAAUUCCUAGUGUAGCGGUGAAAUGCGCAGAUAUUAGGAGGAACACCGGUGGCGAAGGCGCCACUCUGGACUGAAACUGACGCUGAGGAGCGAAAGCAUGGGUAGCAAACAGGAUUAGAUACCCUGGUAGUCCAUGCCGUAAACGGUGGGCACUAGGUGUGGGUUCCAACUAUCGGGAUCCGCGCCGUCGCUAACGCAUUAAGUGCCCCGCCUGGGGAGUACGGUCGCGAGACUAAAACUCAAAGGAAUUGACGGGGGCCCGCACAAGCAGCGGAGCGUGUUGCUUAAUUCGAUGCUACGCGACGAACCUGUACUGAGUUUGACAUGUUUGGCAAAGCACAGAGAUGUGGUGUCCGCAA
rnacentral:rRNA from 1 species